UACGUAGGGGGCAAGCGUUGUCCGGAAUUAUUGGGCGUAAAGAGCGUGUAGGCGGUCCGGUAAGUCGGUUGUGAAAGUCCAGGGCUCAACCCUGGGAUGCCGAUCGAUACUGCCGGACUAGAGUCCGGAAGAGGCGAGUGGAAUUCCCGGUGUAGCGGUGAAAUGCGCAGAUAUCAGGAAGAACACCCGUGGCGAAGGCGGCUCUCUGGGACGGUACUGACGCUGAGACGCGAAAGCGUGGGGAGCGAACAGG
rnacentral:rRNA from 1 species